rnacentral:rRNA from 1 species
GACGAACGCUGGCGGCGUGCUUAACACAUGCAAGUCGAACGGAAAGGCCUUGAAUUUGUGUUCUGCCCGAGUGGGGAACGGGUGGGUAAGUCGUGAGUAACCUGCCCUCGCUUUUGGGGUAACUACAGGAAACUGAGGCUAAUUCAGGAUAGGUGCUCCUGCUGCAUGGUGGGGGGUGGAAAGUUACGGCGGUUGGGGCUGGUCUGGCGGCACUGCAGCUUGUGGGUGGGGUAGUGGAUUACGAAGGAUUGGAAGAGUAGCCGGCCUGAGAGGGUGACCGGCCACAGUGGGACAGAGAUAGGGCCCAGACUCCUACGGGAGGCAGCAGUGGGGAAUAUUGCGCAAUGGGCGGAAGCCUGAAUCAGCAACGCCGCGUGCGGGAUGACGGCCUUCGGGUUGUAAACCGCUUUCGGCGGUGACUAAGCGUGAUUGACGGUAAUGGGUAAAGAAGCACCGGCUAACUACGUG